rfam:Picea glauca, whole genome shotgun sequence.
ACCAAUAUCAUGGACUUUAACAUGUCCACUGAUGCAAUGGCUUGGGUGCUACAAUAAGCUCUCUUGUGGCAAUUCUGACCAACGGCUUUCUCCUCUGUGCCCUUGGCCCGGGAAACUCCACAUACAUAA